UACGGAGGGUGCGAGCGUUGUCCGGAAUCAUUGGGCGUAAAGAGCUCGUAGGCGGCCUGUUGCGUCCGCUGUGAAAGCCCGGGGCUUAACCCCGGGUCGGCAGUGGAUACGGGCAGGCUAGAGGUAGGUAGGGGAGAAUGGAAUUCCCGGUGUAGCGGUGAAAUGCGCAGAUAUCGGGAGGAACACCGGUGGCGAAGGCGGUUCUCUGGGCCUUACCUGACGCUGAGGAGCGAAAGCGUGGGGAGCGAACAGG
rnacentral:rRNA from 1 species